rnacentral:pre_miRNA from 1 species
GUGUCCCUAAGCGUUCCUUGCAAGCACUUCAGACAGAGCUUUGGUUUCUCUCAUAUUAGAUUGAGAACUUAAUUAGAAGCUUGUCUGAAGUGUUUGGGGGAACUCCUGGUGUCAC